rnacentral:piRNA from 1 species
UAAGGUUGUCUUUGUGUUCUUCUGUCCAU